rnacentral:rRNA from 1 species
UGUGACCUCAAAUCAGGUAGGACUACCCGCUGAACUUAAGCAUAUCAAUAAGCGGAGGAAAAGAAACUAACAAGGAUUCCCCUAGUAACUGCGAGUGAAGCGGGAAAAGCUCAAAUUUAAAAUCUGGCAGUCUUUGGCUGUCCGAGUUGUAAUCUAGAGAAGUGCUAUCCGCGCUGGACCGUGUACAAGUCUCCUGGAAUGGAGCGUCAUAGAGGGUGAGAAUCCCGUCUUUGACACGGACUACCAGGGCUUUGUGAUGUGCUCUCAAAGAGUCGAGUUGUUUGGGAAUGCAGCUCAAAAUGGGUGGUAAAUUCCAUCUAAAGCUAAAUAUUGGCGAGAGACCGAUAGCGAACAAGUACCGUGAGGGAAAGAUGAAAAGAACUUUGGAAAGAGAGUUAAACAGUACGUGAAAUUGCUGAAAGGGAAACGCUUGAAGUCAGUCGCGUUGUCCAGGGAUCAACCUUGCUUUUGCUUGGUGCACUUUCUGGUUGACGGGUCAGCAUCAAUUUUGACUGUUGGAAAAAGAUCAAGGGAAUGUGGCAUCUUUGGAUGUGUUAUAGCCUUUGGUUGCAUACAAUGGUUGGGAUUGAGGAACUCAGCACGCCGCAAGGCCGGGUUUUAACCACGUACGUGCUUAGGAUGCUGGCAUAAUGGCUUUAAUCGACCCGUCUUGAAACACGGACCAAGGAGUCUAACAUGCCUGCGAGUGUUUGGGUGGAAAACUCGAGCGCGUAAUGAAAGUGAAAGUUGAGAUCCCUGUCGUGGGGAGCAUCGACGCCCAGACCAGACCUUUUGUGACGGAUUUGCGGUAGAGCAUGUAUGUUGGGACCCGAAAGAUGGUGAACUAUGCCUGAAUAGGGCGAAGCCAGAGGAAACUCUGGUGGAGGCUCGUAGCGAUUCUGACGUGCAAAUCGAUCGUCAAAUUUGGGUAUAGGGGCGAAAG